rnacentral:rRNA from 1 species
CAGCAGCCGCGGUAAUACGGAGGAUCCAAGCGUUAUCCGGAAUCAUUGGGUUUAAAGGGUCCGUAGGCGGUUUAGUAAGUCAGUGGUGAAAGCCCAUCGCUCAGCGGUGGAACGGCCAUUGAUACUGCUAAACUUGAAUUAUUAGGAAGUAACUAGAAUAUGUAGUGUAGCGGUGAAAUGCUUAGAGAUUACAUGGAAUACCAAUUGCGAAGGCAGGUUACUACUAAUGGAUUGACGCUGAUGGACGAAAGCGUGGGUAGCGAACAGGAUUAGAUACCCUGGUAGUCCACGCCGUAAACGAUGGAUACUAGCUGUUGGAAGCAAUUUCAGUGGCUAAGCGAAAGUGAUAAGUAUCCCACCUGGGGAGUACGUUCGCAAGAAUGAAACUCAAAGGAAUUGACGG